rnacentral:rRNA from 1 species
UGGGGAAUAUUGCACAAUGGGCGCAAGCCUGAUGCAGCCAUGCCGCGUGUGUGAAGAAGGCCUUCGGGUUGUAAAGCACUUUCAGCGAGGAGGAAGGGUAGUGUGUUAAUAGCACAUUGCAUUGACGUUACUCGCAGAAGAAGCACCGGCUAACUCCGUGCCAGCAGCCGCGGUAAUACGGAGGGUGCAAGCGUUAAUCGGAAUUACUGGGCGUAAAGCGCACGCAGGCGGUUUGUUAAGUCAGAUGUGAAAUCCCCGCGCUUAACGUGGGAACUGCAUUUGAAACUGGCAAGCUAGAGUCUUGUAGAGGGGGGUAGAAUUCCAGGUGUAGCGGUGAAAUGCGUAGAGAUCUGGAGGAAUACCGGUGGCGAAGGUGGCCCCCUGGACAAAGACUGACGCUCAGGUGCGAAAGCGUGGGGAGCAAACA